GCAGGCGCAGGCCCGUAAGAUGGCCCACCAAAGACUAAGCUUAAACAAAAAAAAAUGGAGGUGUAACAGGCCAAGAACAACCCCAAGUCCCAAGAGGAAUGUGAAUACAACGGAUAGCGUGUGUUCACAAUGCUCAGUUCGAACCAGACGCUCACUCACCUCGCCGCCUUCCCUUCAUCGUUGUCGCACCGUAGACCGCCUCCGGCGGCGGUGGAAGUCGUAUCACCAUCAAAGCUGCCUCACUAUGACCGUCUUCCUCCACAGAAUCUCAGCAUGAUCUCGACCUCUGAUAAUUUGACAAUACCUCUCCAAAUCGCAACCAAGAACAAAGAACCCUAAGUUUCUAAAAACGAAAUUGAAUGUCCUUCAGGCGCCAAAAGGAGACUAAACUAUAGGGUUUGGCUUUUGAGCCAAGAGUCUACAUCUCAGCAAUCUUGGAUUAAGAGAAAAAGGAAGAAAAGUCUCUUACCGGAAUAGCUCCGGUGACCGUCAUCGGCGAGAGGAAAAUCGAAAUCAGGUUUUGGCGUGGUUGUGGUGUAUGCUACCGUUUAGCUUUUGUUUGUAGCGUUUAGACUUGGCUCUUGCUGCUGGUUGCCUGAUGUAGGUGUUCCUGCACCAUUUUCGCACCUUGGCUAUGCUGUUAUUGGUUUGUGUAGCAACUUUUGGUGGUGUGCAAUUUUGGCUGGCUUGUAGCUGGUGUACGUGCGUUGGAGCAUGUGGCUUUAUGCAACUUUGGGUGUUUGCUACAACAGCUUUGGUAGCUACAUUUUCCAUCCGCCUUCUAUCACCUUGCCUUCUUUUCCCUUCAUUUCUUUUAAUGUAAAACACUGUUGGUUUAUGUUAUGCAUAAUGGAUCAGAUCGAAUUUGGAUUGAAA